GUCUAGAUUUCAGCUGUCUCAGGCUCACCAGAUUCCUCAUACAAGCUUGCCAGUGGUCAACACCUUUAGUGAUAUUCAGCUUGAAAACAGGACAGGAACCUGAAAGCAUCAGAAAGAGUUACCUGAAGAAAAUUGUCUUUGUGGAGUCCUGUUCAUGGCUGGAAGAUGUGGGGGAAAUGGCCUCUAAUGGAAGGGAUUCCAUCACCAAUUAUGAUCACGUGCCACCAGCAAGGUGGUAACUCCAGGCUCUCAGGCUCUGCCACUGCCAGCAAGGGGAUGGCUGAUCCUGGCAGCAAAGGCUCAGGCACGCUCCUAAUGAGCAUGUCGAUUUUCGGCACUGGCGCCGUCGUUCUGGUCAUGCACCACUCAGAUGAAGCGCAGGUCACUUCGACUCGUGGUGGGACGCUGGGGCAGCGCAACCCUUCGAUUCAGGAACGUCUUUCCCUGGUCAGCGACUGCGUGCCGGGGCGGGGGGCGGGGCCCCCCCCCCCCCCCCCCCCCCCCCCCCCCCCCCCCCCCCCCCCCCCCCCCCCCCCCCCCCCCCCCCCCCCCCCCCCCCCCCCCC
rnacentral:lncRNA from 1 species